rnacentral:rRNA from 1 species
UACGUAGGCAGCAAGCGUUGUUCGGAAUUACUGGGCGUAAAGGGUUCGUAGGUGGCUUGUUAAGUCAGACGUGAAAUCCCUCGGCUCAACCGGGGAACUGCGUCUGAGACUGAUGAGCUCGAGUGCAGGAGAGGAACGCGGAAUUCCAGGUGUAGCGGUGAAAUGCGUAGAUAUCUGGAGGAACACCGGUGGCGAAGGCGGCGUUCUGGACUGCAACUGACACUGAGGAACGAAAGCCAGGGGAGCAAACGGG